UACGAACAUAUCACGUCGGAACACCGGUUCCCGUACGAUCACUGAAGUAAAGUAACAUCGAGCCUAGUCAAUAGCCUAGAUGAGUGACUGCUUGGGAAUUCCAGCUGCUGUAGG